GGGACUGGCAGCACUGUCUGCCAUGCACAGUCUCUCGCCUCUACCUUGCCUCAUGGAUGGGAUGGGAUAACUGUGGUCCAUCAUUCAGCUCUGCUUCUCAUGUUUCUGCAGGACAGAGUUACGUUUUCUGGGAGUUGUUUCUCAGCCUGUUGUUCUCCAUGAUGUUUGACUGGACAGCUCUUCCUUCUUCAUUAUCCUCCUUGGCCUCUUCUGAAAACCCAGGAUGAAGAAGUAGCCACUACAUGAGACUUGAUGGUCUCACGGUGGAGGUUUGAACAUCGUGGGAACAUGCAAUGUCUCUGAAAACCUCAGCUCAGAUGAGGCAAAUGGCUCAUCUAUUUAUGGCCCAUCUUGGCAAGUCACAA